CCUACGGGAGGCAGCAGUGGGGAAUAUUGCACAAUGGGCGCAAGCCUGAUGCAGCCAUGCCGCGUGUGUGAAGAAGGCCUUCGGGUUGUAAAGCACUUUCAGCGGGGAGGACGGCGGUGAGGUUAAUAACCUCAUCGAUUGACGUUACCCGCAGAAGAAGCACCGGCUAACUCCGUGCCAGCAGCCGCGGUAAUACGGAGGGUGCAAGCGUUAAUCGGAAUUACUGGGCGUAAAGCGCACGCAGGCGGUCUGUCAAGUCGGAUGUGAAAUCCCCGGGCUCAACCUGGGAACUGCAUUCGAAACUGGCAGGCUAGAGUCUUGUAGAGGGGGGUAGAAUUCCAGGUGUAGCGGUGAAAUGCGUAGAGAUCUGGAGGAAUACCGGUGGCGAAGGCGGCCCCCUGGACAAAGACUGACGCUCAGGUGCGAAAGCGUGGGGAACAAACAGGAUUAGAUACCCCGGUAGUC
rnacentral:rRNA from 1 species